AUGAAUAGUCUUAGCCUCAGUAUUCUGAAUUGGAACGUCCGAGGGUUAAAUUGCCCAAAUAGAAGAACUACAGUCAAUGAGACUAUUGCUCCCUCGGCCUGCCACUUAGCGUGCUUCCAGGAAACAAAACUGGAGAUUGUUGACCCCAUGGUCGCUUCUUUCUUGGGCGGCUUUGUGCUCAAAGGUUUUGCACAAUGGCCUGCAAUAGGCACUCGAGGCGGUAUCCUGCUGCUCUGGGAUGAAGAGCACAUGAAGCUUGAAAACGUGCACUUCGGCACCUACACCCUCUCGGCGAAGAUUACCAUUAUCAGCUCCAAUACCUCCUUCAACUUCACCAUGGUCUAUGGGCCGACAAGAAGCAACCUUAAGGACGAUUUCUAUAAUGAGUUGAUGGCUGAAAAGCCGCCCGGUGACGGAUGGCUGGUCACAGGUGACUUCAACCAAAUACACGCCCGAGACAAGAAUCGUUCCAAUGCAAACCGUACACGCAUCGCUCACUUCCGAGACACCCUCUAUUUUUGCGAGCUCAAAGAAAUUCACCUUCAAAAUAGGAAGUACACCUGGAGCAAUGAGCAGAGCAACCCAACCAUGUCCAAGCUUGAUGGUUUCUUUUGUAAUGAGGAUUGGGACAUCACUUUUGACAAGCAUAUCCUCCAUGCCCUAUCAUCGUCCCUCUCGGUUCAUUGCCCGCUUCUGUUAGCUAACAAUGAUGGCCCAAGACGCCCGAAGACUUUCUGCUUCGAGAACUUCUGGACAAGCAUGCCUGGCUUCCAGCAAACCGUCCAGGAGGCUUGGAACGAGCCCUCCACGCACUCUGAAGCGUACCAAAGGCUCUUCCACAAACUAAAGUGCACUAGCCAAAGACUAUGGGCCUGGAGCAAGACCCUCUUCUCCCAGGCCAAAGUCCAGCUGCACAUGGCCCUGGAGAUUAUCUUAUGCCUUGAUGAGGCCCAAGACCCGCGAGAACUUAGUGCGGAGGAGGCGGACCUUCGGAAAAGACUGAAAAGAAGAGUGGUCGGGCUGGCUGUGUUGGAAAGAGCGAGAAAGAAGCAGAACUCGAGGAUAUCGAAUAUCAAAGAGGGGGAUGAAAACACCCGUUACUUCAAUCUUCGGAUCAACGGGAGGCGUCGGAAGAACCUUAUCCAUAGACUCAAACAUGGAAAUGGCUGGGUGACUAGUCAUGAGCAUAAAAGCAACAUUCUCCAGAGGCAUUUCGCCAACAUUAUCAAGAAGGGCUCGCCAUGCCCAAAAACGAUCAUCCGGGGCACCUUCCCUCCUACGGUCCAUGACCUCUCCGACCUUGGGGUGCCCAUCACGGAGGAUGAGGUCAAGGAUGCUCUCUCUGCCCUCCCUGGAGACAAGGCCCCGGGGCCGGAUGGCUUCACUGGGAAAUUCUAG
rnacentral:rRNA from 1 species